CCUACGGGUGGCAGCAGUGAGGAAUAUUGGUCAAUGGACGAGAGUCUGAACCAGCCAAGUAGCGUGAAGGAUGACUGCCCUAUGGGUUGUAAACUUCUUUUAUAUGGGAAUAAAACGUUCCACGUGUGGGAUUUUGUAUGUAUCAUAUGAAUAAGGAUCGGCUAACUCCGUGCCAGCAGCCGCGGUAAUACGGAGGAUCCGAGCGUUAUCCGGAUUUAUUGGGUUUAAAGGGUGCGUAGGUGGAUUGUUAAGUCAGUUGUGAAAGUUUGCGGCUCAACCGUAAAAUUGCAGUUGAAACUGGCAGUCUUGAGUACAGUAGAGGUGGGCGGAAUGCGUGGUGUAGCGGUGAAAUGUUUAGAUAUCACGAAGAACUCCGAUUGCGAAGGCAGUUCACUGGACUGCAACUGACACUGAGGCUCGAAAGUGUGGGUAUCAAACAGGAUUAGAUACCCCAGUAGUC
rnacentral:rRNA from 1 species